rnacentral:rRNA from 1 species
CCCUAUUAUCAGGAGGGAAAAAUGGAAUUAGGGAGUAGGACCAGCUGAAAACCAUCUAGGAUGGCGGUUUUUUUUAUUAUUAGACAGAUGUGUUUUUAAAACGAAAAUACACGAGCAUCUUUCUUACUCUUGAACCCCUCAUCCUGUACACCGCCGUCUGAAGAGUAAGUUUAAAUGGCUAACUCUAUUUCUAUUUCUACAGAAAUAAGUCAGGUAAGGUGCAGACCAUGGGUAAGAAAAAAUGCAUUUCACUAAACCCCUAGGGAGCAGGUUGAAAGCCUUUCCCAAGAUGAAUUUAAUAGUAAGGUUUUUUAAUCAUAAAAAUCUGAAUUAAUUUCAAGAAAAUGUACACAUCGCCCG